UAGGAUUAUUUUAUAAAAGUAUAACUUUUACUUUAUA
rnacentral:tRNA from 2 species